ACACCUUCAUCGCCACCAGCGACAUUCACAUGCAGCAUAAGCUCAGGAAGACGCCCGACCAGGUGGUCACCAUUGCCAGGGAGAUGGUGGCUUACGCCCGCAGCCUCGGAUGCACUGACGUCGAGUUCAGCCCCGAGGACGCCGGCAGGUCAAAUAGAGAGUUCUUGUAUCAUAUUCUAGGGGAAGUCAUAAAAGCUGGAGCUACGACUCUCAAUAUCCCGGACACUGUCGGAUACAAUCUUCCUUAUGAAUUUGGAAAGUUGAUUGCUGAUAUAAGGGCAAACACUCCUGGAAUUGAAAAGGCUAUCAUUUCCACUCAUUGUCAGAAUGACCUUGGUCUUGCGACUGCCAACACACUUGCGGGCGCUCGUGCAGGAGCACGACAGUUAGAGGUUAAUUGGUGAAAGGGCUGGAAAUGCUUCUUUGGAGGAGGUUGUCAUGGCAAUUAAAUGCCGCAGAGAACUGUUAGAUGGUCUCUAUACUGGAAUCGAUUCCCGACAUAUCACUUUGACGAGCAAAAUGGUGCAAGAGCAUAGUGGACUUCACGUGCAGCCACAUAAAGCUAUUGUUGGUGCCAAUGUGUUCGCUCAUGAAAGUGGAAUUCAUUAGGUAAGCAU